rnacentral:rRNA from 1 species
UGAAGCUGGAUUCGCUAGUAAUCGCGCAUCAGCCAUGGCGCGGUGAAUACGUUCCCGGGCCUUGUACACACCGCCCGUCAAGCCAUGAAAGCCGGGGGUACCUGAAGUACGUAACCGCAAGGAUCGUCCUAGGGUAAAACUGGUAAUUGGGGCUAAGUCGUAACAAGGUAGC